UUUAAAUACGUUUUUUUUACUAAUUUUGUCUACGAUAUAAUAAUUUAUAGUGUUGUGUUAUCCCCAUUAAUUGGGUAAGUGUAGCAAUUACUAUUUUUAUUAGUUUAAAUAUCAACGUAGACUAGUACAUGCUUUCUUUGUUCAUUGCAUGACUGUCAUUUUUCAUAAUCAUCGGGUAAAUGUAUUUUCACGCUUUAGUGCUUAUUUUAUAUCAUAAUUAGCAAUCUUUUAUGUUCAAAACAACAUUUAAAUUGUCAAUUUUUCUAAAUUAAUUCUACUUAACCAACUUAAAGUUAUCUUUGUACCUAAGUACUUUCCUUGUUUAAAUAAUUCUUAAAUGGAACAAUAAUAAUGUACAAAAUACGUUUAAUAUCGUUGCUAUUAAAAUUAUUCAGCUUAAAAUAUUCAAUUUUACUAUUUUGUUAGAUAGUUUUUUAAAACAACUACCUACCAUAAAUUUAUCUUGUUCUUUGUUCUUUUUCUAAAUUUAUUUUGCUAAAUUCACUUUUAUUGUGUGUAAUUUGCUGACAGCCACAUCUUAGAUUGCUAAGCUUGCUUGCUAUCCACUUCCCAUCUUCAAUCAAGCUAAGGGAUCGGCAUGUGGCAGUCAGACUGGGAAUUCGGACAAUUCUUGAAAUGACUAAUUCCGGGUUCCAGGUUUCACCCUUCGAGUUCUACAACCGCAGGACCCACUACCGGUCCUGUACUUACCUCUACCGCUUCACCUUUCGGGUUCUACAACCCGCUGGAUCCACUUUCGGUCCUGUACUUACCCCACCGUUUCUGCUGCCCUGCUGCGCGCGCCGGUGUACCCCGUGUCGUCGUGGGAAGAGUUACAGGGAAGUGGUAGUUUUCCUACUGCACCAAGGGUGCUCAGCCAGUAUCAAAUUACCUGCGACCCAGAGAUCCGAUCUAUGUACUUGCUAGGGAUUUAAUGUCAAUAAACUUGGUUUUAUUUCUAUAUACCGUUUUAUUUACCCUAGUAAGUACAACCUAUUUGAUUCGCGUGAUAAGAGCGUGACAAUGGCGCCCAACUAAGGAAAUACUGAGCUGAGUAUCCUUUUUGCUGGUUUUGGCAUUUUUGGUCAUCUUUGGUGUUGGUCUGAUUAUUUUGUCUAGCUCUAAGUGAAUUGUAAUUGCAACUUUUGUGUGCUGUGGUUGCUUUGUGGGAAUACCUUACUAUUUCUCUUUCAAGGUGAUUGCAUACAAUUAAAAACACAAAAUCGAACCUACCACAUCGCACAGAAGGAAAACUUUGAUUUUGCACUGCCAACCUCUGUCUAUCCCUGUGUUUUAAUUGUUGUGUACUUUUGAUAGUAGCGUUUGUUUUCUUGUUAUUUUCCUUCUGCCGUUUGUUGUGUUUUAGUUAUUAAGACUUCAGGUACUUGCAACACUUACUCAAAAAAUAACUAUUCAAUUAAACUAAUUACAAUUAAAACAUAAAGUAAUAGAGAUGUCUCGUCCAAUCAAAUAUUUAUCACUUCAGAAAGAUGAACUCCUUUAUGAAGAGGUACAUGGCAUGUCAAGGAUAUUAAACUUACAAACUAUUCUAAAUAAUUAUAUCUAAACUUUUACCUAACUAAAAUAAAACUUUCCAUAUUUACAAAACUUCCUUGCUGGGAUGGAAGUGAGAGAAAAACAUAGAAUCCCCCAGCUGCUUACUAAUUCUCGAGCAGACUGUAAGAGUCAGUCAAGAGAUUGAUGUGUAAUACCAUCAAACGCCUUAGGCCUGCCAAAAACUUAAAUCUUGAGCAUGGCAUGCGUCUUCUAAUAUCUUCUAAUAUUCUCUAAAAAUACCUUACAUACUACCUUAAAAAAAAAAAAAAAAAAAACUAAAACUACACUUACUAAAACUAUACUAAAAAAUCCAAAACUAGCCUAAAACAAUGUCUUACUUACUAAAACUACCUACCGUCUUAAAUAUAUUUACUUAUAUAUAGUAUUUCUAAUUUUUUUUUUACAAAAAAAAAAUAUUGAAUCUCCAGGCCCUACCCCUAGGACAUUCUAUUUAUUUUAUCUUCGGCCCUACCCCGAAGAUAAGAAAAUUAUACUAUAAAAAGAAAAAAAAAAAAACGGUUACCUUAAAUCUCCUAUUGAUUACGUGUGAGUACUAAGCUGCGGUUAAAAGUCUAGUACUCUUUUUGGAAAGGACGCAGUCACUUAAAACGAAAUAAGAUAACUGUUUGUGUGUGAAAGGGAUGAAAGAAAGUAGGGGGGUGAAUGGAAGGGUUGAAAUGAAUGUGUACCACGUAAUUUUUAGAAUGGUCAAUAGUAAGAAGGACAGACUAGGUUACAUUUUAGUCAGCGGAUUUUCUUAGCGAAAAUCCUACCCAAAAAAGGGGGGUAUGUAACGCCUGCCGCGUUUUACUACUGAGUGUAAUUGCUCUUGUUUUUCUGUUAGGAACUAUCAAAAAGUUAUCAUUGAAAACACUUAAAAACUACUGCUUAAAACUAAAAUAUUAUUACAUAAAUAAACAUAUACUAAUUAAUUUAACAAAACAUAUCUAUUUACAAAAUAAUUCCGUUAAUAUUGUACGACUUUAAUAAUUAUCACAUUGCGUAGGUAGCCGUACCUACACUCCACAGCCGAGCCGUUACUCUUCCGGUCGGAUGUUCGACACAAUCCUUCUGCCUUUGUAGCGAGAACACCUCGAUUACUCGUAUAUUUUUUAAAUACGUUUUUUUUACUAAUUUUGUCUACGAUAUAAUAAUUUAUAGUGUUGUGUUAUCCCCAUUAAUUGGGUUUCACCCUUCGAGUUCUACAACCGCAGGACCCACUACCGGUCCUGUACUUACCUCUACCGCUUCACCUUUCGGGUUCUACAACCCGCUGGAUC